CCUACGGGAGGCAGCAGUGGGGAAUAUUGCACAAUGGGGGAAACCCUGAUGCAGCGACGCCGCGUGAGUGAAGAAGUAUUUCUGUAUGUAAAGCUCUAUCAGCAGGGAAGAAAAUGACGGUACCUGAUGAAGAAGCCCCGGCUAACUACGUGCCAGCAUCCGCUGUAAUACGUAGGGGGCCAGCGUUAUCCGGAUUUACUGGGUGUAAAGGGAGCGUAGACGGCAGUGCAAGUCUGAAGUGAAAUGCCGGGGCUUAACCCCGGAACUGCUGUGGAAACUGUGCAGCUAGAGUGCAGGAGAGGUAAGUGGAAUGCGUAGUGUAGCGGUGAAAUGCGUAGAUAUUAGGAGGAACACCAGUGGCGAAGGCGGCUUACUGGACUGUAACUGACGUUGAGGCUCGAAAGCGUGGGGAGCAAACAGGAUUAGAUACCCCUGUAGUC
rnacentral:rRNA from 1 species